UAAUAACUUUUAAACAUGUAUUAGUGUGAGCCUGUUUUUUUUAACUUAUAUAAGAGCUGUUUUGUUUUGCCUUUAAUUUAGAGCAAAAGCACACUAUAGACAACAUUAUUUGAUGUUUUUAACCUUAUAUUGUGUACUUUAACUUGGCCUAAGUUCAAUUUAAAUUUCUAGUCUUUGAGCUGUUAAUUUAAGUUAUUUUCUUUCUAAGCAUACAUUUUCAUAAAAAAAGUAAAUUUCUCUGUUACUACGUUACAUUAUGUGAACAUAUUAGUACCUUUUAGCUUUUCUACCUACACAGGAAAAAUGAGAGUACUUUUUUCGGAGUUACCAUCAGUAAUUUUUGUUUAAGUAGGUGUAAAAACGUAGAGGAAAUAUGUUGGAGUAAACCAGCGAGACCACGCCCACUCUACUUUCUUAAGUUUCGUUUCUUCCGCCAUUUUGUUAUCCCGCAGCGGCCGGAGGAAGAUAGAGGCUGUGACUGAGGAAAGAUGCAAGCUGUGCGUGAACAUGUCGAACGCC